rnacentral:rRNA from 1 species
AUUGAACGCUGGCGGCAUGCUUUACACAUGCAAGUCGAACGGAUUUUGGAGCUUGCUCCAGAGUUAGUGGCGAACGGGUGAGUAAUAUAUCGGAACGUACCCGGCAAUGGGGGAUAACGUAGCGAAAGUUACGCUAAUACCGCAUAUGCCCUGAGGGGGAAAGCAGGGGACCAGUAAUGGCCUUGCGUUGUCGGAGCGGCCGGUAUCGGAUUAGCUAGUUGGUGAGGUAAAGGCUCACCAAGGCCACGAUCCGUAGCGGGUCUGAGAGGAUGAUCCGCCACACCGGGACUGAGACACGGCCCAGACUCCUACGGGAGGCAGCAGUGGGGAAUUUUGGACAAUGGGCGAAAGCCUGAUCCAGCCAUGCCGCGUGAGUGAAGAAGGCCUUCGGGUUGUAAAGCUCUUUCAGGUGGAAAGAAAAGGUUACGGAUAAUACCUGUAACUGAUGACGGUACCAUCAGAAGAAGCACCGGCUAACUACGUGCCAGCAGCCGCGGUAAUAC